rnacentral:rRNA from 1 species
UAAUACGUAGGGUGCGAGCGUUAAUCGGAAUUACUGGGCGUAAAGCGUGCGUAGGCGGUCCGUUGUGUCUGCGGUGAAAUCCCCGGGCUUAACCUGGGAAUGGCCGUGGAAACUGGCGGGCUUGAGUGUGGCAGAGGGGGGUGGAAUUCCGCGUGUAGCAGUGAAAUGCGUAGAGAUGCGGAGGAACACCGAUGGCGAAGGCAACCCCCUGGGCUGACACUGACGCUCAGGCACGAAAGCGUGGGGAGCAAACAGGAUUAGAUACCCUGGUAGUCCACGCCCUAAACGAUGAUCACUGGGUGUUGGGGAAGCGAUUUCUCAGUACCGUAGCUAACGCGUGAAGUGAUCCGCCUGGGGAGUACGGCCGCAAGGUUA